rnacentral:rRNA from 1 species
GGCAGGUCGCUCGCUCGCCCACACACUGUCAAGUUCAACUCCCCGCUCCGCUCCCCCAAAGAUUCCAAAUUUUCCCAAAUCGCUGGCCUCAAUCGCCCGCGCCCCCGCCGAAUCCCCAGAUCCCCACCUCCUCCCGCGCGCCCCGGCCCCCAGCUCCGCCCAAUUCUAGGGUUCCCCGCCCGUACGCCAGCUCCCCACCGCCAGAUUAGGGUUUCCAUCUCGCAUUCCGCCCUCCCGGAGCUUCCCCUUCCGGGCGAUUGGAGCCGGAGAGGAGCGUCCGGCCGCGGCGAGCUGCGGGUUCCCUCUGCCUAGGGCCUGGAUUUCCGGCGGCGGGGGGGAUGUCGUGAACGCCGGAGCUUGCUUGCUUGCUCUUCCCCGUCCGUCGGGGAGCUGAGGUGAGCUGAGCUGAGCUCAGGCUAGGCUAGGGUUUCGUGCUGCGUGCUCCGUCAGCGAGGAGGGCAGCCGGAGAUGUUCUACUCGCAGUUCAUCUUGGCCAAGAAGGGCCCGCUCGGGACCAUAUGGAUCGCCGCGCACUUGGAGCGCAAGCUCCGCAAGAACCAGGUCACGGACACGGACAUCGGCGUCUCCGUAGAUUCAAUUAUAUUCCCUGAGGUUCCAAUUGCGCUGCGGUUAUCCAGUCAUCUUAUGGUAGGCGUGGUCAGAAUCUAUUCUCGGAAGGUCAACUACCUAUUUCAUGAUUGCAGUGAAGCCUUGCUCAAGAUAAAACAAGCAUUUAGGUCUGCUGCUGUUGAUCUCCCCCCUGAAGAAUCAACUGCUCCAUAUCAUUCUAUAACACUCCCUGAGACAUUCCAUCUUGAUGAUUUUGAGUUACCGGAGGCUGAGUUUCAGGGGGACAUUGAUCAUCAUGUAAGCUCAAAAGAACAGAUUACCCUGCAAGACAACCCAGAGAGAACAGGAUAUUCAACAUCUGAAUUUGGUUUAGAUGAAAGAUUUGGUGAUGGCAGUUCUUCACAUAUGGGUUUUGAUUUGGAGGAGGAAUUAUUGCUGGCGAAGGAUGAUCCAAUUCAACUCGAAUCUGGUGAUGGUAUCCUCAUUCAAGGUCAAUCAUCACUUCAUCCUACUGAUAUGGAUGUUGACGAUAACCCAAGUAAAGAUGAAGAGGCUGAAGCAUAUAACAAAAUGGAUGAUGAACCUUCUAGUUCCAGCAAGCAAAAUCAAUCGAAUGCAGAUGAUUUAAGAAACAAUAUUCCUAACUGGACUGGUUACAAUUUGCGUACCCCUGAUUUGAAUGAUAUGCUUUUCCACAAUGAAGGUGACGCGGGGCCAUCUUCUUCAUACUAUCAGCCUAGUCCCUUCCCUUGUGAUGAUCCUGCAUCUCCUGCCUCUCCUGCCUCUCCUGAGUUUGUAAGCGCUCAAGCCCCAGCUACACCUGGCUUAAUGGAAGAAACAGUUCCUUCCAGAGUGCAUGAAAGUCCUGUUCUGAGUCCGCAACGGAAAGCUUCACCAUCAAGCAACGAGGAAACUGCAAAGAUUGACAAUUUUGCUGCUCCGCCCUCAGAUUUUGUCCAUUCAGCCGCAGCAAAUGAUGUUGGGAUGGUUGAAUUUGGAUUGACUAAGCCUGUGCAAGUUGAGUCUUCUGGUGCCGCACAGGAGAAUUCUGCCGCUCCAUCCUUAGAUUUUCUCCAUUCAGCUACAGCUACAGCUAAUGCUAAUGAUGCUGUUGGUGCUGAGAUGGCUGAGUUUAGCUUGGUUAAGCCUGUGCAAGUUGAGUCUUCCGGUGCAGCACAGGAGAAUCUUGCCGCUCCAUCCUCAGAUCCUUUCCAUUCAGCUGCAGCAAAUGCUAAUGAUGCUGUUAGUGCUGAGUUUGCUGAAUUUGGAUUGGCUAAGCCUGUGCAAGUUGAAUCAUCUGGUGCUGUAGCUCCACCCUUGGAUUUUCUCCAUUCAGCUGCAGUAAAUGCUAAUGAUGCUGUUGGUGCUGAGAUGUCUGCAUAUAGAUUGACUAAUCCUGUGCAAGUUGAGUCUUCCGGUGCACCCUCAGAUUUUCUCCAUUCAGCUACAGCUAAUGCUAAUGAUGCUGUUGGUGCUGUACAAGAGAAUUUUGCUGCUCCACCCUCAGAUUUUUUCCAUCCAGGUGCAGCACAUGCUAAUGAUACUGCACAUGCUGAUGAUACUGUUGGUCCUGAGAUGACUGAAUUUAGAUUGGCUAAUCCUGUGCAAGUUGAGUCUUCUGGUGCUGUACAUCAUAAUUUUGCUGCUCCACCGUUAGAUUUUCUCCAUCCAGGUGCAGCACAUGCUAAUGAUGCUGUUGGUGCUGGGAUGGCUGAAUUUAGAUUGGCUGAGCCGGUGCAAGUUGAGUCUUCUGGUGCUGUGCGGGAGAUGGAUUUUCUGAGGCAACACUCUGCAACUGUGGAUAUGCCACCAGAACCACAAACAUCAAAGGCUACUGUUGAUAAGUUGGUGGUAAAUACUGAGGAUAUAGCUGUAUCAGGUAAAACACUGCCUUUUAAAGCAACCAUGGGAAGUGUGCCAUUUGUUCAGAAUACUUCGGAGCCACGCACUAAUGGUUCUACCGAGACAUACGUGACAGGGAAUCAAACACAUUUUAAUGAGGGGUCAGUAAACAUGCAAGAGCCAUACCCUGGUGGUUCUACCGAGCCAUGGGUGACAGGGCAACAACAACAAAGCUUCUUGUCCCAAGCAAGUUGGGGUAGGCCUAGUGGUUCUACCGAGCCACGCGUGACAGGGCAUCCAACACAUUUUAAUGAGGGAUCAGUAAAUGUGCAAGGGUAUAAUCUGCAUGCUCCUAAUGUGUUUCUCGGACAUAACUUACAAGAAAUACCACCAGGAAUGACACACAGUAAUAUAUCAACUGCUGCUUUCCAACAGAACACUGGAACAAUACCGCAAUACAUGUCAUAUAAUGAUAGACCAAAUGACAUGUUCACCUCAAAUUUCCCAGAACGCGAGAGAAUGCUCUCAGCUCCAUAUAUUGGAUUCCACCAGACAAAUGACUUGGGGCAGUUAACUGCAGAGAAAGGAAUCACUGAAUCUGAUGGAAGUAACAAAAUAGGUAGCCUUAGUAGCAGAAAACGUCACUUGGAGGAUAGCAUGCCAGCUCCAGAGAGUAGGACUACUGAAAAUUUGUCCAGCACACCAGAUGGUCAAAGAACCACUGAUGCUAUUCCUAACGAUGAUGAUAUACUGGCAUCCAUUUUAGUUGGUAGAAGAACCCCUGGAUUGGUGCUUGAUUCAACUCCAUUACCACCUAAUGCAUCAACUUCAAAACGCCAAAGGUUGACACCGAAGACCGCAUUGACACCCAAGACCAGGACACCCAAGAGAAGAGUGAAAAUGGAUGAUGCCAUGGUUAUACAUGCUGAUAUUAUACGGCAGCAGUUGAUUAGUACCGAGGAUAUAAGGCGCAUCCGUAGAAAGGCUCCAUGCACCCGUACUGAAAUAUGGAUGAUCGAGAAAGGUUCACUUGAAGAUGAUAUAUUCCGCGAGCCUAUAUUUUCCUGUAUGCACAAGGACCUGAACGGUUUACACUAUCGAACCUAUGAGUCUGUUUCUCAAUUCACCGUACAUAACAGGGAACCGCAAGGACAAGUAGACAUGUCUGAAACUAUCCGAGCAGAUUACAGCAAUGCUGGCAUCUCUGGUGCAGAGGAAAGUGCAGCUCAUGAUCACCAACUUCAUAUGGUGCUACCAGAUACCAACAAUGUUGACAUCUCUGGUGCAAAGGACAGUGCAGCUCUUCAUCACGAACUGAAUAUGGGACUACCAGAUGGAGCUCACAACGUUGGCAUCUCUGGUGCAAAUGACAGUGCAGCUCUUGAUCACCAACUAAAUAUGGGACUACCAGAUGGAGCUCACAACGUUGGCAUCUCUGGUGCAAAUGACAGUGCAGCUCUUGAUCACCAACUAAAUAUGGGACUACCAGAUGGAGCUCACAACGUUGGCAUCUCUGGUGCAAAUGACAGUGCAGCUCUUGAUCACCAACUAAAUAUGGGACUACCAGAUGGAGCUCACAACGUUGGUAUCUCUGGUGCAAAUGACACUGCAGCUCUUGAUCUGGGACUACCAGAUGGAGCUCACAACGCUGGCAUCUCUGGUGCAAAUGACAGUGCAGCUCUUGAUCACCAACUUCAUAUGGGACUACCAGAUGGUGCUCAAUUAGAUGCUACACCACAAGAAGCAACUGAUGCAGUUGAUGCUACAGCUGCAUUUGGUUUGCAAAUGCCAUCUGAUGAACGUGAUAACAACAUUGAAAAAGUAACUGAGUUUGGUGACGGGAAAGAAAUCCCACUUGUUGACGAAACAAAUGCUGCUGCAAACAUUACUGCUCAUGUUGAUACACUGGAUAAGGAUUGCCAUCAAGAUGCUUCAGCAGAUAUGCAGAGGAAUACAAAUGCUGAUACACCUCUCUUUGUGCAAGAUGACAUAACCCAUGAUUCUGCUACUAUAACAGAUGCUCCAGAUGUUGCUUUGCAUAGUUCUGGUCCAGCUUGUGCGCAAGCAGUGGACGCCCGGGAAGGGGAAUUGAGUGACAUUGUUCGCAGUGAUAUUAAUACUUUUGAGGAUAAGGAGAUGCCCACUUCUGAGGUUACUGGACUGGAAUUCACUGAACAUGCCUCUGGUUUUCCUCAACCAACAGAGGAUGAGAAUGCUGUGUCGGCGAUGGGAGAAAAUUCUGGCUUGCAAGGAAACAAUGCAGGAUCCUUCACGGACAUGGACAACAUGGGGCAUGACUUCACGGACAUGGACCACACUGGGCAUGACUUUGCACUUAAGGAAUGCAGUGAUUUUGGAAGUGCAAUUCAUGGUGUUGACGCAGAUUUUCUACCCUAUGAUGAUGAUGGGGACUUUGAUGAGGCAAUUGAUCUCGAUGAUGAUGACGAUGAGCCAAAUCCUGACGAAUUCCAGUCUCAUGAUGCACUUAGUGGCUGGUCUUCUCGUACCAAGGGUGUUGCAAGAUAUCUCAAGACUCUGUUCGAUGAAGAGUCUGGUCGGGGGAGAAAGAAUGUUGUCAUUGAUCAUCUGGUAAAUGGAAAGUCUCGGAAAGAAGCCUCAAGGAUGUUCUUCGAGACCUUGGUCCUGUCGACGAAGGACUACAUUCAGGUGGAGCAACCAAUUCCCUUUGGUUUAAUAAACGUGAAGCCAGUAUCCAAGCUCCUGAAGACAGAUUUCUAGACCAAGACCGCCCUAGCAAGAGUGGCAUGAUAUACAUACAUCUUACAAUAUCUGUCACAGCACCAUCAACAACAUACAGAUCGUCUUCUUCAUCCUUGUCAUCGUCGUCGUGACUUGGCCCCCGUUUUUCGUUGUUUGUUGUUAAAUUUAUCCCCCUCCGUAGUAGUAUCGUGCCCCCCGCACUAAUCUGUGCCUAGCAGAGCUGAGCCGAGCUGAAGUAGUAGGGCUGUGUUGUUGUGCUCCAUCCAUGUCAGUGUACAUAUAUGAUUAGCCCGUGUAAAGUUAAGUUCUAUAUGUCGUGUAAUGUGGUAGUGUCGUUGGCUCGGAGGAUGUUAUUGACUGCCUGUUGUUUUACCUUGAACAGUCCUUGGGAACUGUAUGCAUCUGGAUCUGUUGGACUGCUUGUAUUUGGAAGUUUUCCUCAAGUUUCAGGACUGAUGAAUUU